rnacentral:rRNA from 1 species
GUGUAAUAAUAUAUAUAUAUUACAGUAGUAACUCUGUUACAUAAAGUUCUAGAUAAAUAUUUGAUUAUGACAUUAUUUAUCUAUAAGUCUUGACUAAGUCACGUGCCAGCAGUCGCGGUAACACGUGGAAGACGAGUGUUAUUCAUCUUUAUUUGGUUUAAAGGGUACCUAGACAGUUAAUAAAGCCUAAAUCAGGGACUAAUUAGCUAGAGUUUUAUAGGAGAAGGUUAGAACGGUUAGUGGAGAGAUGAAAUUCUUUGAUACAACUUAGAGACUGACAACAGCGAAAGCAACCUUUUAUGUAAAAACUGACGUUGAAGGACGAAGGCUCAAUAGAGAGAACAGGAUUAGAUACCCUAGUAUCGUGGGCAGACAAUGAUGAGUGUCAUAUAUAAGUAUACUUAUAUUAGAUAAAUAUAAAUAAUAUUUAGUGUUAUUUAUGUAUAAAUGAAAGUGUAAGCACUCCACCUCAAGAGUAACAUGGCAACAUAGGAACUGAAAUCAUUAGACCGUUUCUGAAACCAGUAGUGAAGUAUGUUGUUUAAUUUGAUGACCCACAAAGAACCUUACCACAAUUUGAAUAAAUUUCUCUAUAGUGAAAUUUACAGGAGUUGCACGGCUGUCUUCAGUUGAUAUCGUGAGAUUUUGGUUAGUUCCAUUUAAUCAACGUAAACCCUUACUUUAUUUUCUAUAUAAAGUGUUCGCCGCAAUA